UACAGAGGGUGCAAGCGUUAAUCGGAAUUACUGGGCGUAAAGCGUGCGUAGACGGUUAUGUAAGUCAGAUGUGAAAGCCCCGGGCUCAACCUGGGAAUUGCAUUUGAGACUGCGUAGCUAGGGUGCGGAAGAGGGAAGCGGAAUUUCCGGUGUAGCGGUGAAAUGCGUAGAUAUCGGAAGGAACACCAGUGGCGAAAGCGGCUUCCUGGUCCAGCACCGACGUUCAGGCACGAAAGCGUGGGGAGCAAACAGG
rnacentral:rRNA from 1 species